GAACUGCAUACAUCCCUCUAUAAGAAGCAGAACUCGUUCUAUGCCUUCUUUGCUGUCUUCAGUCAUCUACCUAUUAUUAUGUUUCCCAGUGAUAAGGACUCCAAUCUACAUAACGUGAUGGGCGAAACCGAAGAGGGCGAAAAAUUACGACUACGUCUUACCUCCAAUCCUACUUAUGGUGAAGUCAUGAAGGACUUGUAUCCAUUUUUCUACCAUCGCGGAUUGUUCAAUUUUGACGAUUACAAAACGGAAUAACGUCCAAUAAAAAAUACAUAUUUUAGACAAUAAU